rnacentral:tRNA from 1 species
GCUCCCAUGGCGUAGUGGUCACUGCGCUCGCCUUGCACGCGAGAGAUCCGGGUUCGAUUCCCGGCGAGGUCA